rnacentral:lncRNA from 1 species
UGAACAAACAACAACUAAUUAGAGAGCCUUAUCGUCCACCAUCUCUACGCCCAGAGCCUCUUCAGAUGUUGCCGCCAACAUUGUUGCAAUUUUUGCACUAUGCUGUGGAAGAUGGCACGUGCAUCCAGAUUCUAAUUGAAAGUGGUGAUCAAGCUCAAGCCGUUAGUAAAAAAAACAUGAUCACACAGUCUUUAUUUUACAUAUAGUAGACAAAAAAUCUGAAAGAUAAAAUUUCUAAUC